rnacentral:sRNA from 1 species
AAACAAAACUAGUUCUAAGAGUAUUAGUAACUGAUUUAUUAGGGAUAUAAUAAGCGAAAAUCAUUGCUGAUAAAAUGUUGGUAAAAAUAAUCAUAUAAGAGGAAAUAACAGCAACAAUAGAAAGUCCGCUAGGACCAAGUAGAGGGCUGCUCACUCCAAAAAAAAUGUAACUAUUAUAACGAAUUGAUCCUUGAAAAAUAGAAGUAAAUUGGACUUUAUCAAUGUUACAUUUUUUUUGAUAAAUUAUAAGACCGAGUGAUACAAGAAUAGUAGAGAUAAUAAGAGCAACUACUAGUUUAAUUAUAGAUGUAACACUUAGGUCAGCGGUAGAUACAUAAUUAAAAAGCAUGGCAGGGAAUAGUAUA